AAGGGAAAGGCCUGCCCGUAGGCACACAGCCUUCAGUUGCCCGGGACAUCAGAAAGCCAAUGGGCCCGGAAGAAUGAGAGGCCGGGAAGGCGAGCAUGCGGGUUUUGAUGACGUGUGUGGGUGCUUCCUGUCCAGGGCAAGGGCCCCCCGCAGGAGGACAUACCUGUGGCCGCAGUGAUGGCUGAGCCCAGGAGAUUUCAAACCCCAUGGCCAGACUUCACCUGGGGCAGCUGCACCCAUCACACAGGUAACCCAUUCCACAAGGCAGUUCUGCUUCCGGGCUUGGGAGUCAGAAUUACUCCUUCACAAGAACCACAGCAGAGACGGAGUCAGGCGUCAGCUGUCUUCUAGAGCUCCCUGCCCCU